CUGGUGGGAUACCGCCCUGACUGUAUUGAAAUUCUAACCUACGGGUCUUAUCGACCCGGGAGACAGUGUCAGGUGGGCAGUUUGACUGGGGCGGUCGCCUCCUAAAGUGUAACGGAGCGCCCAAAGGUUCCCUCAGAAUGGUUGGAAAUCAUUCGUAGAGUGCAAAGGCAUAAGGGAGCUUGACUGCGAGACCUACAAGUCGACAGGGACGAAAGUCGGGCUUAGUGAUCCGGUGGUUCCGCAUGGAAGGGCCAUCGCUCAACGGAUAAAAGCUACCCCGGGGAUAACAGGCUUAUCUCCCCCAAGAGUCCACAUCGACGGGGGUUUGGCACCUCGAUGUCGGCUCAUCGCAUCCUGGGGCUGUAGUCGGUCCCAAGGGUUGGGCUGUUCGCCCAUUAAAGCGGUACGCGAGCUGGGUUCAGAACGUCGUGAGACAGUUCGGUCCCUAUCCGUCGUGGGCGUAGGAAAUUUGAGAGGAGCUGUCCUUAGUACGAGAGGACCGGGAUGGACGCACCGCUGGUGUACCAGUUGUUCUGCCAAGGGCAUAGCUGGGUAGCUAUGUGCGGAAGGGAUAAGUGCUGAAAGCAUCUAAGCAUGAAGCCCCCUCAAGAUGAGAUUUCCCAUAGCGUAAGCUAGUAAGAUCCCUGAAAGAUGAUCAGGUUGAUAGGUUCGAGGUGGAAGCAUGGUGACAUGUGGAGCUGACGAAUACUAAUAGAUCGAGGACUUAACCACA
rnacentral:rRNA from 1 species